AGCAGCUGUCGACCGACCCUUUCCUGGCUGCAGUCCACGAUGGGAAAAGUUAUGGGAUAUUGAAACGCAUCGGCGACGGAGGGAGGCUCUGUUGUGUCAUGUGUAGCGGGCGCCAGAAGAGUUGUACACAUGUCAGUGCGUACAGGGAAUGGUGUAAGGCCCGAGAUGUGGACCCAGACGUUGUGUUCACUGCCCUGAAUGAGCCAGUGUUCUCAGCCGUCUCCACAUCUCCGGUGCCUUACCCAUUUACAACCGAGAUGAGGGAGAGUUUUGAGAGCGUUUUCUUUCAGGUACAAAACAAAGAGAAGCCGGGCAACAUACUGCAAAGGACGCCGGGAUAGCGUGGGCAGACGCCAUUUUGUUAUCCGACAAUUUCGUAGCGAUUUUGUAAAUUUGUACAUACUAAUCUGUAAAUACUUCGGUAAAUACUGUGGCAUGUAGUGUAAGCUUUGAAUACAUACGAUACUUGUUGGUCUACGUUUUGUACGCUCGUUUGAUUUAAUUAUAAAAUAGCAAACGCUCGAUUUGUUUUCAUGACUUUCAUGAGAAUGAUAUACUGUAGUGUAGCGUCACAUCACGGCCCAUGUUCUAAAUUUUGUACGACGUUUGUAAACGUUGUGUGAGUUGUAAGGGUGAGUAGUUUUGUACAUCGUAGCGUAAACUCUGAAUACAUAGGUAGGAUGUAUUUGUAUAUAUUUCAUGUAAGGUUAUGAAUUUGCAGUGGUAUGUAAGUCUGUUUCGUAGAAGGUUAUAGUAGG